rnacentral:rRNA from 1 species
AUUGAACGCUAGCGGCAUGCCUAACACAUGCAAGUCGAACGGAAGCGCGGAGUUUGCUCUUGCGGUGAGUGGCGAACGGGUGAGUAAUGUAUCGGAACGUGCCUAGUAGUGGGGGAUAACUACGCGAAAGGGUAGCUAAUACCGCAUACGCCCUACGGGGGAAAGCAGGGGAUCGUAAGACCUUGCACUAUCAGAGCAGCCUAGGUCGGAUUAGCUAGCUGGUGGGGUAAAGGCCCACCAAGGCGACGAUCCGUAGCUGGUCUGAGAGGAUGAUCAGUCACACUGGAACUGAGACACGGUCCAGACUCCUACGGGAGGCAGCAGUGGGGAAUAUUGGACAAGGGGCGAAAGCCUGAUCCAGCCAUGCCGCGUGUGUGAAGAAGGUCUUCGGAUUGUAAAGCACUUUAAGUUGGGAGGAAGGGCAGUAAGUUAAUACCGUGAUGUUUUGACGUUACCAACAGAAUAAGCACCGGCUAACUUCGUG